UUGGCCCCAAUCAAGACCAGUUGUUUGGAGUAGCCGCUGGUUCCACGGGGCCCACAGUGACUCCUUCCUGUGGUCUGUUGGUUUCUCCCAGAGUCUCAAAGGGGCUAAUCAAUUCAGUUGGAAGGCACAAGC
ensembl:snoRNA